UACGGGGCGCUGCAGGCGCGAAAACUUUACAAUGCGGGAAACCGUGAUAAGUGACACCGAGUGCCAGCAUUAUAUGUUGGCUGUCCGGGUGUGUAAAAUACACCUGUUAGCAAGGGCCGGGCAAGACCGGUGCCAGCCGCCGCGGUAACACCGGCGGCCCGAGUGGUGAUCGUGUUUAUUGGGUUUAAAGGGUCCGUAGCCGGUUUGGUCAGUCCUCCGGGAAAUCUGACGGCUUAACCGUUAGGCUUUCGGGGGAUACUGCCAGACUUGGAACCGGGAGAGGUAAGAGGUACUACAGGGGUAGGAGUGAAAUCUUGUAAUCCCUGUGGGACCACCUGUGGCGAAGGCGUCUUACCAGAACGGGUUCGACGGUGAGGGACGAAAGCUGGGGGCACGAACCGGAUUAGAUACCCGGGUAGUCCCAGCCGUAAACGAUGCUCGCUAGGUGUCAGGCAUGGCGCGACCGUGUCUGGUGCCGCAGGGAAGCCGUGAAGCGAGCCACCUGGGAAGUACGGCCGCAAGGCUGAAACUUAAAGGAAUUGGCGGGGGAGCAC
rnacentral:rRNA from 1 species